GAUGAACGCUAGCUACAGGCUUAACACAUGCAAGUCGAGGGACCGGCGCACGGGUGAGUAACACGUAUCCAACCUACCCUUUACUCGGGGAUAGCCUUUCGAAAGAAAAAUUAAUACCCGAUGUAAAGGAUGGGGAUGCGUUCCAUGAGGUUGUUGGUGAGGGAACGGCUCACCAAGGCUGCGAUGGAUAGGGGUUCUGAGAGGAAGGUCCACCACAUUGGAGCUGAGACACGGUCCAAUCUCGUACGGGAGGCAAGAGUGAGGAAUAUUGUUCACUGGGCGUUAGCCUGAACCAGCCAAGUAGCGUGAAGGAUGAAGGCUUAUGGGUCGUCAGCUUCUAUUAUAGAAGAAGCUGUAUUAUAUGAAUAAGGAACGGCUAACUCCGUGCCAGCAGCCGCGGUAAUUC
rnacentral:rRNA from 1 species